rnacentral:lncRNA from 1 species
GUGGGGUUAUGGGGUCGGGCUGUGGGGUUAUGGGGUCAGUGUAAGGGGUUAUAGGGCAGCAAUGGGGCUCUGUGGGGUUAUGGGGCCGGACUGUGGGGUUAUGGGGUCAGUGUAAGGGGUUAUAGGGCAGCAAUGGGGCUCUGUGGGGUUAUGGGGUCAGUGUAAGGGGUUAUAGGGCAGCAAUGGGGCUCUGUGGGGUUAUGGGGUCGGACUAUGGGGUUUAUGGGGUCAGUGUAAGGGGUUAUGGGGCAGGAAUGGGGCUGAACGUGGGGUUAUGGGGUCAGAACAUGGGGUUAUGGGGUCAGUGUGUGGGGUUAUGGGGUCACUAUAGAGUCUCUAUGGGGUUAUGGGGCACUAUGGGGUCUCUGUGGGGUUAUAGGGUCGCUGUGUGGGGUUAUGGGGUUUCUAUGGGGUGAUGGGGCUGUGGGGCCUUAAUGUGGAGUUAUGGGGUCUCUGUGGGUUCACUCACUUAUGGGGCAGCAUGGCAUCUCUAUGGGGCCCCACACUUAUGGGGCAGCCCAUCUAUGGGGCCAUCUAUGGGGUCCCAUAUUGUGACCCCACAACUGCCCCAUUUCAGGCCGCCCCACCGACACCGUGGAAGUGCCGUGUGAGGAGGAGGAGGACGGCCCGGCACACACAGGUGGGACCCACACUUAUGGGGCAGCCCCAUAUCCGCACCCCACACUUAUGGGGCAGCCCCAUAGCAGCCCCAUAGCCACCCCAUAUCCGCACCCCACACUUAUGGGGCAGCCCCAUAGCCACCCCAUAACCCCCAUAUCCGCACCCCACACUUAUGGGGCAGCCCCAUCCCCCCCCCAUAACCCCGUUGUUCUGCCCCAUACCCACCCCACACUUAUGGGGCAGCCCCAUAGCCACCCCAUAACCCCCAUAUCCUCACCCCACGCUUAUGGGGCAGC